rnacentral:lncRNA from 1 species
CGCUAAACCAAACUAAUCAAAACUGUGGGUCAAACCUAGUUGCCCCAACCCAAGUCACAGACCAAACAAGCCCUCCAACAUGGAAAUAGGAAAUAAAUCCCCAAGUGCCGUAACUAGGGUUUGAAGCGAUGCCCUUCACGUGCAGGACCAGGCUCUACACCACUCAACCAACACACCCAAAUUAAUAUAUAGUGCAAAACCCAAUAGAUAUA